rnacentral:lncRNA from 1 species
GUGUUAACAGUUUAUUUCUAUGUUUAUCAUAUCAUGAUGAGAUCUUACCAUUUCACAUUUAGUCACAAGUGGCAUUUUAUACCAGACUAUUCAAUAUGGGUAUUGCUCAUUGAUAAAUGACAUACAGAGACCUAUAGUGGCUCACAUCCUUGUCAUUUGGACUGGUUGAUAGUUGUCUCAUUGAAUAUUAUACCAAACCUUAUUUAUAAAUUGGUCAUAUCAUGACAGCAUUAUUGUAAUAUAAUGUUCAGCAGUUCUUGAUUAGAAUUUAAACCAAUAAUAAGUUCAAAAUAUUAAAUAUAGUUUUUGGCAUGGGUACUUUAUCAACCAUACUAUUCCAAAAGUAUACAUGACACAUCAGUUGCACCAUCUAUUUGAAGAAAUGUUUCUGCAAAGUUUCAUCCUAUUCACUUCAGUAGUUCAUACUCUUAAACAAGAGCGCUCACACUGAAAUGUCUCACCUGC